rnacentral:misc_RNA from 1 species
CCACUGCGAGGCUUCUCCGGAGGGAUCCGGGGUCGUCUUUUGUCACACUGCGCACAUGUGGUUUGGGGUGGGCGUACGCCCCACUCCAACCUUACCAAACCCAACCAACCCAGUCGAACGGAGUAAGCGGCGGUGUGCCCUCCUCCUCCUCGAGCAGGAACACACCCCGCGCCAACACAAACACUGAAA